CUUUUUAGGCUGUAUCUUUAAAACACAAUCAUAUCUCUCAUUUUUGAAGAGAGAACAAGCAUCAUCCAAAGCAAAGCAAAUGAAACCAAUUGAGCAAACCUCUACAGAACAGUUUUACUCCAUGACAAAUACAAUGCUGAAUUCUUUACUUACAAUUUUGUAAGCUUUAGCAGUUGUAGGAAGGCAGAAAGUCCCCUGGAUUUCCACACUGUAAAGAGUAUUUCUCUAUAUAAAAUGUUUUUGUAGGACUGUAUUUUUAACAGGUUGUUUCCCUAAGUACGGUAUUGCAUAAAAGAACAGUUUUUAUGUAAAACAAAGCUUGGUUAAUGGCAGACAUAAGGUGUUUUCUUCCAUCUUCUGUAUGUCCUACCUGUGUGUUUUAAAUCUUUCACAAAGAUAUUUCUGAUGAUGGUUUUUACAGCUUUCUGAAAACGCAGCUGUAGGUUGGGAUUAUUCUUUGCUCUUUUGUGGAUUGUGUAGGUCAUUACAGUAAUAAGCAUGAUCAGGACACUGUUAAUUUCAUACUGUUUUUGUUAAAGUUAUGAGCAAUUCCAGUUAUAGUACAGUUGACAAGAAAUAUUUGAGUUUUAUUUGCAAGCACACCUUUGCAGCUAGAGUUGGAAAACUGACUCCUUAAAAAUUAAACAACUUCAUCCAUAGAAACUGAGCUGUUGUAUCUCUUGAGUUUGCAGCAUGUUACUUACCUUGCUAGAAUUUCUUUUAAAACCUGCUUUGAAAUAUAUUUAGGUGAUUGUGAAUAUUUGAUAUUUUAUUCUGCAUUUUAUGUAUGAAUGUUUAGUGUUUGCCUCUGUCUUUUGUGCUGUUUGGUUACUGGGAGGUACCAAUAAACUGAAAUACUGCUCCUCUGGAGACUUGAGUACUCUUGAGAUUAAUCCUGCAUGUAGUCUGUGUCCAAAAUUAUAAGUAUGCAUAUUUUUGUGGUUAUGAAGUUUUAGUUUAUAAUCUCCAUGAAACAAGAAUGCUGUCAUUUACUCGGUGCAUAGAAAGCACCUAGCACAGGGUGUUCUGACUUUAAGUGCCUAUGUCUUACAGUAUGAGCAGUAAUUUACUGGAAUAUAAGGGGAGUCCAGAUGAAACAUGGGAAGAAUUUGAAGAAGAAGAAUUCUGUCAGUAUAACUCAUUCCUGUAUUGGAGAGCACCAUUGCCUACUAUUGAUUUGUCUGAUAUUCAGAACCUAGAUGGAGAAACUUCACCAGAAGCUAAAACUCCUUCAAGGACUGAUACCAUGGACACUGAAAUGGAGACCUGAUCAAUUGUGUCAUCGUUGUACAUCUCGCAGGAAACACGUUUCCAUUUGGAUUCAGGUUUUUCUACUUGGGAGAAAAAUAAGCAUGCUUCUGCCUUCUUGACAAAACAAUCUAUGUCAGCCUGCAAGAGCAAGUCUAAGUUGUCUAAGUGAAUGGGAUAAUCGCUAUUAGAUACUUAAUAGUAAGCUGUCUGGAGGUGUACAGUGUGGAUGAGGCUAUGAUGUCAAGGAAGAAUGCUUGAAAACAUGGAAACAAGGCUAUAAGAAGACUGCAGAAAAUUAGAACUUUGGGAUGCAAUUAAAAGAAACGGGGAUAUGUUACAUGUCAAAAGGAAAUGGAAAAUUGUUUUGCCUGUUCUGAGCAAAAAGAUGUAACUGUGGUACCUGAGAUAUUUCUUAUGUGAAUUUUUCAUAAAGCACACAGACUGUAGUGAAUUUAAAUUUUUGUGUGUGUGUUAUAGCUAAACCAAAAAUAAGAGCCUACCAAAACCAGAAAAAACAUUCCCUUUUCUAUGCAAACCAAAAACAAGUGUGGCAGGGAGGAGGAAGGAAAAGGGGAUAUUUUCUUCUGUAAGUUGCCACUGUUCUGGAAUUUUUUCUCAUUCUCCUUGUAAAAAAGUUUUUUCACUUUCUCGUUUCACAUUACCCAAAGCAGUGGACAGCCAGCUUUUAGAUUUUUGGUCCAUUCUCAAGUUAAUGCUGUUCUUAUUCUUUGUAGUGUUAGCUCUGAAUAAGUAGGUAGCAUUGAAAUGGCAGGUGUGCGCAGAUGUGUUGAGAAAAGUUGAUGCAAAAUUACCACAUAGGCUUUUCAAGACUUAACUGACUGAGGUGUAGUUUUUACAGAGCUUGUGGAUCUUGCAAACUUUUUUCUUUCCAAAUUUUUUCCAAUAAUUUUUUUGAAAUAUUAAUUGGUGUUUUGGGUUUUUUUGUGAAAUACAAACUUGAUGCUUUUCUUCUGUAAUUUCUUGUCUUCUGUACAAGUUGAAGUACAAUUAGAAAUACUUGCCUUUAAUAGUUGCCUGAAGUUGUGUGGACAGACUGUCAGACUUUGCAGAUUUGAUUUGACUUUAAGGAUAAAAAACACUGUAUUUUUGCUGCAGUCACCAUUGAAGAAGGCAACUUGUGAAUUAUUUUUUUUUUUUAUUAUGUAUUUGCUAAAGGACAAUAAAGUUUUGCCUGUGUGUAUUUGAAAA